CUUUCAACAACGGAUCUCUUGGUUCUGGCAUCGAUGAAGAACGCAGCGAAAUGCGAUAAGUAAUGUGAAUUGCAGAAUUCAGUGAAUCAUCGAAUCUUUGAACGCACAUUGCGCCCCUUGGUAUUCCGAGGGGCAUGCCUGUCCGAGCGUCA
rnacentral:rRNA from 2 species